GUGGAAGGGGGGGGGGAAGGCUGAUGCAGCCAUGCCGCGUGAGUGAAGAAGGUCUUCGGAUUGUAAAGCUCUUUCUACGGGGACGAAGAUGACGGUGCCCGUAGAAGAAUGCCCGGACAUUUUCCUGCCAGCACCCCCGGGGUUAUACUGUCCCACCCGGCGUUAUGAUAAAUGUUUCUUCCAGUUCCUCCACCCGCGGUAAUGUACUGCCCGGGAAGCGCCCGCCGCCCAUAUCCGGCUUCGGUUCCCGGCCUGCAAUGUUCCAACUGGUCUGGUCGGGCAACUGCGUCGGCAUUUGUUGCCUAACUUCGAUGAUUCUGGUGGCCGCAUGCUCGACUGCAUAUGUAUACCAAUCCCGCACUUGGGUCUGGCGAUCCUCGAAGGCCCGGUCUCCCAGAGUAUGGUCACCAAGGAACAGAUAAGCAUAGGCAUACGAAUCGUCUCAAUCCAUGCGGCUUGCGCGCUGAGACGGGCUUCAUGCCUGACCUGGGCCAGCCAUGCUUCGGAAAGUGCGCCGGGCGUCUAUCCGGGGGAGCCCCGUCACGGGUGGCCAAGGCCUCCGCGCACUCGGAGGAGAUCGGCUUUGCCAUGCCUGCUCAUCCAAUGCCGCCACCCUGAUGGGCUGGACAGUCGCAUUGCUGACUUGCCACGGCAGGAUGUCGCCGCGCUUGGGUUCUAUGCCUCGCUGCAGGGAGCGUAUGAACUUCACCACUGGGCGAACUCCUCAGGAUCUAGCAGCGCCCAGAGCUGCGGGAGUAUGGCGGCGAUGUUGAGUGUGUG
rnacentral:rRNA from 1 species